UACGGAGGGGGCUAGCGUUGUUCGGAAUUACUGGGCGUAAAGCGCACGUAGGCGGCUUUGUAAGUUAGAGGUGAAAGCCCGGGGCUCAACUCCGGAAUUGCCUUUAAGACUGCAUCGCUAGAAUUGUGGAGAGGUAAGUGGAAUUCCGAGUGUAGAGGUGAAAUUCGUAGAUAUUCGCAAGAACACCAGUGGCGAAGGCGGCUCACUGGCCCGGUACUGACGCUGAGGUGCGAAAGCCAGGGGAGCAAACGGG
rnacentral:rRNA from 1 species